rnacentral:rRNA from 1 species
AUUGAACGCUGGCGGCAGGCUUAACACAUGCAAGUCGAACGAGUGGCGGACGGGUGAGUCAUGCUUGGGAAUCUAGCUUCUGGAGGGGGCUAACUACGGGAAACUGUAGCUACUACCGCGUACCAUAGGCUGAGCCCAAGGGGGAUUAGGUAGUUGGUGGGGUAAAGGCUCACCACGCCGACGAUCUCUAGCUGGUAUGCGCGGAUGAUCAGACACACUGGGACUGAGACACGGCCCAGACUCCUACGGGAGGCAGCAGUGGGGAAUAUUGCGCAAUGGGGGCAACCCUGAUGCAGCCAUGCCGCGGGUAUGAAGAAGGCCUUAGGUUUGUAAAGUACUUUCAGCGGGGAGGCGUUACCCGCAGAAGAAGCACCGGCUAACUCCGUGCCAGCAGCCGCGGUAAUAC